rnacentral:tRNA from 1 species
UCCCUGAUGGUCUAGUGGCUAGGAUUCGGCGCUCUCACCAUCGUGGCCUGUGUUUGAUUCCCGGUCAGGGAA